rnacentral:SRP_RNA from 1 species
CCAGAUCCCUCGUGCGGCGCUAUCGUGCUGAACUCCCCCAGGGCCGGAAGGCAGCAAGGGUAGGUGCGCUCUAGUGGGUGCACGAGGGGUCCUUCAA